rnacentral:rRNA from 1 species
GAUGAACGCUGGCGGCGUGCCUAAUACAUGCAAGUCGAGCGAACAGACGAGGAGCUUGCUCCUCUGACGUUAGCGGCGGACGGGUGAGUAACACGUGGAUAACCUAUCUAUAAGACUGGGAUAACUUCGGGAAACCGGAGCUAAUACCGGAUAAUAUAUUGAACCGCAUGGUUCAAUAGUGAAAUACGGUUUUGCUGUCACUUAUCGAUGGAUCCGCGCCGCAUUAGCUAGUUGGUAAGGUAACGGCUUACCAAGGCAACGAUGCGUAGCCGACCUGAGAGGGUGAUCGGCCACACUGGAACUGAGACACGGUCCAGACUCCUACGAGGGGCAGCAGUAGGGAAUCUUCCGCAAUGGGCGAAAGCCUGACGGAGCAACGGCGCGUGAGUGGUGAAGGUCUUCGGAUCGUGAAACUCUGUUAUUAGGGGAGAACAAAUGUGUAAGUAACUAUGCACGUCUUGACGGUACCUAAUCAGAAAGCUACGGCUAACUACGUG